rnacentral:lncRNA from 1 species
GCCUCAAAAUUGCUCUUCUAUGCUCACUUGCUAUCGGUGAAAUCAGCAUCGAUUACGUCUCCAUCAGGUCCUUUCCCUGAUGAUGAUUCUGAAGGACCAGCGGAAUCACCAGGUGCUGGACCAGCACCUGGUGCAGCUCCAGCACCGGGCUGGUUGUAGAGUGACUGGCCAAGCUGCAUUACUUCUUGGUUAAGGGCAGCCAUCGCAUCCUUCAUGGCCUGAGUAGAGCCCCCUGAGAUCGCUUCUUUAAGCUCGCCAAGUUUAGCCUCAACUUUCUCUUUCACCGGCCC